rnacentral:rRNA from 1 species
UGGGGAAUUUUGCGCAAUGGGGGAAACCCUGACGCAGCAACGCCGCGCGGACGAUGAAGCUUCUUGGAGUGUAAAGUCCUUUCGGCAGGGACGAAACCCGAGCAAUCGGGCCGACGGUACCUGAAGAAGAAGCCCCGGCUAACUCCGUGCCAGCAGCCGCGGUAAUACGGGGGGGGCGAGCGUUGUUCGGAAUUAUUGGGCGUAAAGGGAGCGUAGGCGGUGCGAUAAGUCGGGUGUGAAACCUCCAGGCUCAACUUGGAGCUGGCAUCCGAAACUGCCGUGCUAGAGUGCGGGAGGGGAGAGUGGACUUCCCGGUGUAGCGGUGAAAUGCGUAGAUAUCGGGAGGAACAUCGGUGGCGAAGGCGGCUCUCUGGACCGUAACUGACGCUGAGGCUCGAAAGCUAGGGGAGCAAACAGGAUUAGAUACCCUGGUAGUCCUAGCUGUAAACGAUGAACACUUGGUAUAGCGGGUAUCGAAUCCCGCUGUGCCGGAGCUAACGCAUUAAGUGUUCCGCCUGGGGAGUACGGUCGCAAGGCUGAAACUCAAACGAAUUGACGG